rnacentral:rRNA from 1 species
UACGGGAGGCAGCAGUGGGGAAUCUUAGACAAUGGGCGCAAGCCUGAUCUAGCCAUGCCGCGUGAGUGAUGAAGGCCUUAGGGUCGUAAAGCUCUUUCGCCUGUGAUGAUAAUGACAGUAGCAGGUAAAGAAACCCCGGCUAACUCCGUGCCAGCAGCCGCGGUAAUACGGAGGGGGUUAGCGUUGUUCGGAAUUACUGGGCGUAAAGCGCACGUAGGCGGAUUGGAAAGUUGGGGGUGAAAUCCCGGGGCUCAACCCCGGAACUGCCUCCAAAACUAUCAGUCUAGAGUUCGAGAGAGGUGAGUGGAAUUCCAAGUGUAGAGGUGAAAUUCGUAGAUAUUUGGAGGAACACAAGUGGCGAAGGCGCUAACUGGUCGAUACUGACGUGA